rnacentral:rRNA from 1 species
AGCUCCAAUAGCGUAUAUUAAUGUUGUUGCAGUUAAAAAGCUCGUAGUUGGAUUUCUGGUCGGAGCGCCUGGCUGGCUCCGCAAGGGGUCAUGCAUGGGUACCUUCGGUCAUCCUCAGGGGAACUUGCACUGGUAUUCAUUUAUCGGUGUCGGGACGCCUGUCGUUUACUGUGAACAAAUUAGAGUGUUCAAAGCAAGGUGUACUUGAAUACAUUAGCAUGGAAUAAUAAGAUAGGACUUUGGUGGUUCUUUUUGAUAUUUUGUUGGUUUGCACGCCAAAGUAAUGAUUAAUAGGAGCAGUUGGGGGUAUUCGUAUUCAAUUGUCAGAGGUGAAAUUCUUGGAUUUAUAGAAGACGAACUACUGCGAAAGCAUUUACCAAGGAUGUUUUCAUUA